GAGUUAGUAGCUCAGUGGUAGAGUGCAUGCUUUGUAUGUAUGAUGUCCUGGGUUCAAUCCCCAGCUUUUCCC
rnacentral:tRNA from 1 species